rnacentral:rRNA from 1 species
GAUGAACGCUGGCGGCGUGCCUAAUACAUGCAAGUAGAACGCUGAAGCUUGGUGCUUGCACCGAGCGGAUGAGUUGCGAACGGGUGAGUAACGCGUAGGUAACCUGCCUCUUAGCGGGGGAUAACUAUUGGAAACGAUAGCUAAUACCGCAUAAAAGUCGAUAUCGCAUGAUAUUGAUUUGAAAGUUGCAAAUGCAUCACUAAGAGAUGGACCUGCGUUGUAUUAGCUAGUUGGUGAGGUAACGGCUCACCAAGGCGACGAUACAUAGCCGACCUGAGAGGGUGAUCGGCCACACUGGGACUGAGACACGGCCCAGACUCCUACGGGAGGCAGCAGUAGGGAAUCUUCGGCAAUGGGGGCAACCCUGACCGAGCAACGCCGCGUGAGUGAAGAAGGUUUUCGGAUCGUAAAGCUCUGUUGUAAGAGAAGAACGAGUGUGAGAGUGGAAAGUUCACACUGUGACGGUAACUUACCAGAAAGGGACGGCUAACUACGUG